rnacentral:snRNA from 1 species
AUUUGAAUCUCUAUUCAUAUAU